AUUGAACGCUGGCGGCUUGCCUUACCCUUGCAAGUCGAACGGCAGCACGGGGGCAACCCUGGGGGCGAGUGGCGAACGGGUGAGUAAUACAUCGGAACGUGUCCUGUCGGGGGGGAUAACCAGUCAAAAGACUGGCUAAUACCCCAUGAGAUCGAAAGAUGAAAGCAGGGAACCGCAAGGCCUUGCCCGAUUGGAGCGGCCGAUGUCGGAUUACCUAGUUGGCGGGGUAAAAGCCCACCAAGGCAACAAUCCGUAGCUGGUUUGAAAAAACAACCAGCCACACUGGGACUGAAACACGGCCCAAACUCCUACGGGAGGCAGCAGGGGGGAAUUUUGGACAAUGGGGGCAACCCUGAUCCAGCCAUGCCGCGUGUGUGAAGAAGGCCUUCGGUUUGUAAAGCACUUUCGAACGGAACGAAAUCGCGCGGGUGAAUAUCCCGCGUGGAUGACGGUACUGUAAGAAGAAGCACCGGCUAACUACUUG
rnacentral:rRNA from 1 species